GAUGAACGCUGGCGGCGUGCCUAAUACAUGCAAGUCGAGCGAACAGAUGAGGAGCUUGCUCCUCUGACGUUAGCGGCGGACGGGUGAGUAACACGUGGAUAACCUCCCUAUAUGACUGGGAUCACUUCGGGAAACCGGCGCUAAUACCGGAUAAUAUAUUGAACCGCAUGGUUCAAUAGUGAAAGACGGCUUUGCUGUCACUUAUAGCUGGAUCCGCGCCGCAUUAGCUAGUUGGUAAGGUAACGGCUUACCAAGGCUACGAUGCGUAGCCGACGUGAUAGGGUGAUCGGCCACACUGGAACUGAGACACGGUCCAGACUCCUACGAGAGGCAGCAGUAGGGAAUGUGCCGCAAUGGGCGAAAGCCUUACGGAGCAACGCCGCGUGAGUGAUGAAGGUCUUCGGAUCGUAAAACUCUGUUAUUAGGGAAGAACAGAUGUGUAAGUAACUAUGCACGUCUUGACGGUACCUAAUCAGAAAGCCACGGCUAACUACGUG
rnacentral:rRNA from 1 species